rnacentral:tRNA from 1 species
AAGAAAGUGGCAGAACGGUUAUGCGGCUGGCUUGAAACCAGAUUAUGGGGGUUCAAUUCCUUCCUUUCUCG